AGAGUUUGAUCCUGGCUCAGAUUGAACGCUGGCGGCAUGCCUAACACAUGCAAGUCGAACGGAAACAGGACGCUAUGAUCUCUUCGGAGUGAAUUUGUCGCUGUCGAGUGGCGGACGGGUGAGUAAUGCAUAGGAAUUUGCCUUGAAGUGGGGGAUAGCCGGGAGAAAUCCGGAUUAAUACCGCAUAUGCUCUACGGAGCAAAGUGGGCCUCUGAUUUAAGCUCAUGCUUUGAGAUAAGCCUAUGUCGGAUUAGCUUGUUGGUAGGGUAAAAGCCUACCAAGGCGACGAUCCGUAGCUGGUUUGAGAGGAUGAUCAGCCACACUGGAACUGGAACACGGUCCAGACUCCUACGGGAGGCAGCAGUGAGGAAUUUUGCGCAAUGGGGGAAACCCUGACGCAGCAACGCCGCGUGAGUGAAGAAGGCUCUUGGGUCGUAAAGCUCUGUCAACUGGGAAGAAAUUAGUAAUGUUUAAUAGAUGUUGCUAUUGACGGUACCAGUGGAGGAAGCGCCGGCUAACUCCGUGCCAGCAGCCGCGGUAACACGGGGGGCGCAAGCGUUAUUCGGAAUUAUUGGGCGUAAAGGGCGCGUAGGCGGUCUUGUCGGUCAGGUGUGAAAGCCCGGGGCUCAACCCUGGAAGUGCACUUGAAACAGCAAGACUUGAGUACUGGAGAGGAAAGCGGAAUUCCUGGUGUAGAGGUGAAAUUCGUAGAUAUCAGGAGGAACACCGAUGGCGAAGGCAGCUUUCUGGACAGAUACUGACGCUGAGGCGCGAAGGCGUGGGUAGCGAACGGGAUUAGAUACCCCGGUAGUCCACGCAGUAAACGUUGUACACUCGGUGUGCCGGAUAUUAAAAUCUGGUGUGCCCAAGUUAACACAUUAAGUGUACCGCCUGGGGAGUACGGUCGCAAGACUAAAACUCAAAGGAAUUGACGGGGGCCCGCACAAGCGGUGGAGCAUGUGGUUUAAUUCAACGCAACGCGAAGAACCUUACCUGGGUUUGACAUCCUGUGAAUAUUGCGUAAUUGCAAUAGUGCCUUCGGGAGCACAGUGACAGGUGCUGCAUGGCCGUCGUCAGCUCGUGUCGUGAGAUGUUUGGUUAAGUCCAGCAACGAGCGCAACCCUUAUCUUUAGUUGCCAGCGCGUAAUGGCGGGAACUCUAGAGAGACUGCCCGGGUUAACCGGGAGGAAGGCGGGGAUGACGUCAAGUCCUCAUGGCCCUUAUAUCCAGGGCUACACACGUGCUACAAUGGUAAAUACAGAGGGCAGCGAGCCGGUGACGGCGAGCGAAUCCCUAAAGUUUAUCUCAGUCCGGAUUGGAGUCUGCAACUCGACUCCAUGAAGUUGGAAUCGCUAGUAAUCGCGGAUCAGCAUGCCGCGGUGAAUAUGUUCCCGGGCCUUGUACACACCGCCCGUCACACCAUGGGAGUUGAUUAUACCCGACGUCGCUGGGCUAACCCUUCGGGGGGGCAGGCGCCUAAGGUAUGGUUGAUAACUGGGGUGAAGUCGUAACAAGGUA
rnacentral:rRNA from 1 species